rnacentral:rRNA from 1 species
UGCAAGUCGAGCGAAUGGAUUAAGAGCUUGCUCUUAUGAAGUUAGCGGCGGAUGGGCGGGUAACACGUGGGUAACCUGCCCAUAAGACUGGGAUAAUUCCGGGAAACCGGGGCUAAUACCGGAUAACAUUUUGAACCGCAUGGUUCGAAAUUGAAAGGCGGCUUCGGCUGUCACUUAUGGAUGGACCCGCGUCGCAUUAGCUAGUUGGUGAGGUAACGGCUCACCAAGGCAACGAUGCGUAGCCGACCUGAGAGGGUGAUCGGCCACACUGGGACUGAGACACGGCCCAGACUCCUACGGGAGGCAGCAGUAGGGAAUCUUCCGCAAUGGACGAAAGUCUGACGGAGCAACGCCGCGUGAGUGAUGAAGGCUUUCGGGUCGUAAAACUCUGUUGUUAGGGAAGAACAAGUGCUAGUUGAAUAAGCUGGCACCUUGACGGUACCUAACCAGAAAGCCACGGCUAACUACGUGCCAGCAGCCGCGGUAAUACGUAGGUGGCAAGCGUUAUCCGGAAUUAUUGGGCGUAAAGCGCGCGCAGGUGGUUUCUUAAGUCUGAUGUGAAAGCCCACGGCUCAACCGUGGAGGGUCAUUGGAAACUGGGAGACUUGAGUGCAGAAGAGGAAAGUGGAAUUCCAUGUGUAGCGGUGAAAUGCGUAGAGAUAUGGAGGAACACCAGUGGCGAAGGCGACUUUCUGGUCUGUAACUGACACUGAGGCGCGAAAGCGUGGGGAGCAAACAGGAUUAGAUACCCUG